rnacentral:tRNA from 1 species
GGUGGCUCAGUGGCAGAGUGUUUGCCUUGCAUGCAUAAGGCCCUGGGUUCAAUUCCUCAGCACCA